rnacentral:rRNA from 1 species
GAUGAACGCUAGCGGCAGGCAUAAUACAUGCAAGUUGAACGGGAUUCAGAUAGCAAUAUUUGAUGAGAGUGGCGCACGGGUGCGUAACACGUAUGCAACUUACCUUAAACUGGGAGAUAGCCCGUGGAAACAUGGAUUAAUAUCCCAUAGUAUAAAGAACAGGCAUUUGUUUUUAUAAAGCUCCGGCGGUUUAAGAUGGGCAUGCGCGUCAUUAGCUAGAUGGAGAGGUAACGGCUCACCAUGGCAACGAUGACUAGGGGUCU